GGGUGAUUUGUUGGAUGCUAGCGGCGGAUGGGUGAGUAACACGUGGGCAAUCUGCCCUAAAGACUGGGAUACCACUUGGAAACAGGUGCUAAUACCGGAUAACAACAUGAAUCGCAUGAUUCAAGUUUGAAAGGCGGCGCAAGCUGUCACUUUAGGAUGAGCCCGCGGCGCAUUAGCUAGUUGGUGGGGUAAAGGCCUACCAAGGCAAUGAUGCGUAGCCGAGUUGAGAGACUGAUCGGCCACAUUGGGACUGAGACACGGCCCAAACUCCUACGGGAGGCAGCAGUAGGGAAUCUUCCACAAUGGACGCAAGUCUGAUGGAGCAACGCCGCGUGAGUGAAGAAGGUCUUCGGAUCGUAAAGCUCUGUUGUUGGUGAAGAAGGAUAGAGGCAGUAACUGGUCUUUAUUUGACGGUAAUCAACCAGAAAGUCACGGCUAACUACGUGCCAGCAGCCGCGGUAAUACGUAGGUGGCAAGCGUUGUCCGGAUUUAUUGGGCGUAAAGCGAGCGCAGGCGGAAUGAUAAGUCUGAUGUGAAAGCCCACGGCUCAACCGUGGAACUGCAUCGGAAACUGUCAUUCUUGAGUGCAGAAGAGGAGAGUGGAACUCCAUGUGUAGCGGUGGAAUGCGUAGAUAUAUGGAAGAACACCAGUGGCGAAGGCGGCUCUCUGGUCUGCAACUGACGCUGAGGCUCGAAAGCAUGGGUAGCGAACAGGAUUAGAUACCCUGGUAGUCCAUGCCGUAAACGA
rnacentral:rRNA from 1 species